UCCAGAUGAGCAGAAUCAACUUUUGGAGAUUUAUUUUCCUGGAUGAUUGAGAAUGCAUCAAGACCCUCUAACGGAAUCUUAGUUAAAGUCAUUUUAAAGAGAUUUCCACUGACAGCACAAAUAUAUGUGCGUGUAUGAAGUAUUAGAUUUUAAUUUUCUUCUACUACUGUAACUAUGGCUGUAACAGUUUUUGACAAGAGAGUGCAUUGUUUAGGUAACCUUGUCUGUUAUUUACAGUAUUCCUGUAUAUAGAUAGAUAGAACAGUGUAUAUAUGUAUAAACACUGAUCUUUUUUUUUCUUUUGCACCACCUUGGGUAAAGUGAAGUGGAUGUCCUGCAUCACACAGCACAUGAAGUCAGAGACACACUUCUCAGUUUUGCUGCUAAUAUGAACACUGUCAUCCCAGUCAACAAUAAGGAAGGUGCUCCUCCAUGAUUGGUACAUCCAGGGCGGAUGGAUCGUACCGACUGGCUCAUGACCGGGAGGCAGCGCAUAAGAAGACACCGCCAGGGACUGCCAGGUCAUUCAUCCUCCGCCCAACCCAGCCGGCAGACCGUUCACUGUGUCACUAUGUUUGUGGAAUGUAAGAGCAUGUAGGGGUGGACCGCCUUUUUGUUUGAUUAGUUUUCUCCUGUUUUUGCUAGUCAGGGAGGAAAGUGCCUGUCAUUUGGUUUGGUUCUUUUGAGUAGGUAAGUUGUACUUAUUCCUGAGUUAGGCUACCUUUUGUUUGUUGUUUUGGCCUUGGGUUCACCCUGAAGUUAUAAUUUGCUCCCUUCCUUUGUUUAAAUGCACUUAUUGUAAAUAAAUCACUGUCACAAAGUA